UGGGGAAUAUUGGACAAUGGGCGCAAGCCUGAUCCAGCAAUGCCGCGUGUGUGAAGAAGGCCUUCGGGUUGUAAAGCACUAUUAUCAGGAGCGAAAUCUGCAGGGCUAAUACCCAUGCAGUCUGACGGUACCUGAGGAAUAAGCACCGGCUAACUCCGUGCCAGCAGCCGCGGUAAUACGGAGGGUGCAAGCGUUAAUCGGAAUUACUGGGCGUAAAGCGUGCGUAGGCGGUUCGUUAAGUCUGUUGUGAAAGCCCCGGGCUCAACCUGGGAAUGGCAAUGGAUACUGGCGAGCUAGAGUGUGUCAGAGGAUGGUGGAAUUCCCGGUGUAGCGGUGAAAUGCGUAGAGAUCGGGAGGAACAUCAGUGGCGAAGGCGGCCAUCUGGGACAACACUGACGCUGAGGCACGAAAGCGUGGGGAGCAAACA
rnacentral:rRNA from 1 species